rnacentral:rRNA from 1 species
AUUGAACGCUGGCGGCAUGCUUUACACAUGCAAGUCGAACGGUAACAGGGAGCUUGCUCCGCUGACGAGUGGCGAACGGGUGAGUAAUGCAUCGGAACGUACCCAGUCGUGGGGGAUAACGUAGCGAAAGUUACGCUAAUACCGCAUACGUCCUGAGGGAGGAAAGCGGGGGACCGGUAAGGCCUCGCGCGAUUGGAGCGGCCGAUGUCGGAUUAGCUAGUUGGUAGGGUAAAGGCCUACCAAGGCGACGAUCCGUAGCGGGUCUGAGAGGAUGAUCCGCCACACUGGGACUGAGACACGGCCCAGACUCCUACGGGAGGCAGCAGUGGGGAAUCUUGGACAAUGGGCGCAAGCCUGAUCCAGCCAUGCCGCGUGAGUGACGAAGGCCUUAGGGUUGUAAAGCUCUUUUGGCGGGGACGAUAAUGACGGUACCCGCAGAAUAAGCCCCGGCUAACUUCGUG